UAAUAAGUGUUUUAUGGCACUUUUUAAAUCCAUAUCCACCUUGUGUGCAAUGUCAGUCGAUCUUCUCCAUGGAGAUUGGCCAAACAUCAACCUUUAUUUUUUAACUCUUUGUCUGAAAAAUAUUAUGAAUAAACAAUUCAAAAUA
rnacentral:misc_RNA from 1 species